rnacentral:rRNA from 1 species
CAGCAGCCACGGGAAUACGGAGGGUGCAAGCGUUAAUCGGAAUUACUGGGCGUAAAGCGCACGCAGGCGGUCUGACAAGUCAGAUGUGAAAUCCCCGAGCUUAACCUGGGAACUGCAUUUGAAACUGUCAGGCUGGAGUCUUGUAGAGGGGGGUGGAAUUCCAGGUGUAGCGGUGAAAUGCGUAGAGAUCUGGAGGAAUACCGGUGGCGAAGGCGGCCCCCUGGACAAAGACUGACGCUCAGGUGCGAAAGCGUGGGGAGCAAACAGGAUUAGAGACCCCGGUAGUCCCUGUCUCUUAUAC